GACGAACGCUGGCGGCGUGCUUAACACAUGCAAGUCGAGCGGAGCGGCGAACGGGUGAGUAACGCGUGAGUAACUGCCCCCCUCCCGGGGAUAACAGUUGGAAACGGCUGCUAAUACCGGAUAGUGGGGGAUGAUUCGCGUCCUAUCAGCUUGUUGGUGGGGUAGUGGCAUCCCAAGGCGACGACGGGUAGCCGGCCUGAGAGGGCGACCGGCCACAUUGGGCUGAGAUACGGCCCAAACUCGUACGGGGGGCAGCAGUGGGGAAUAUUGCACAAUGGGGGAAACCGUAAUGCAGCAACGCGCGUGCGGGAUGACGGCCUUCGGGUGGUAAACCUCUUUCGGCCAUGACGCGGUAGUGGCAGAAGAAGCACCGGCUAACUACGUGCCAGCAGCCGCGGUAAUUC
rnacentral:rRNA from 1 species